UGUCACUUUGUUAUGAUGGCUGUUGUUUUUGUUUUGACCAUGGACCGUUCUGUGCUUUUGGUUGAUUAUUGGACUGUUUCGACUGAGUAUCGCAAACAAUCUAAAUAUAGGCGUCUCUAAGCUCCCCGCAUCAUACUGCUUCUCUGGUGUCUUGUUGCCAUUGGCAAAGAAAGAGAAGAAAUAAAAUCGUGACAGGGGACACGCAAAUUCUGGAGAGAAAAAAAACCCUGAAUGUCAGGAGGCAGUUUAGUCAACAAACAGCACCCAAAGCAAGCGACAGAUGUUCCGAAAAUACUGGUUAGGCAAACAACAGAUGCAAGCUGGGAAACGCUCGCGCUGCCGGUCCGCUGCUCCGCCGGAUUUGCCUUUAAGCCUCGCGGAAUAGAACUCUGCCGUGCCAUCAUGUUGACAAAUGUGAAUGCGCUCUUCUUCUCCCGAUGCAAUGCAAAUCUGUCCCCUUGAACAGAAGGAAAGACGUAACAAAAGCUGUUGGUGUUUUAUCAUGGGAAGCGGGAAAGCGCUGUUGGAAUGCUGCCCGGUAGCACGCGGCGCACUCUGCCUCCUCCACGCGCACACUCUGCACGGUCGGGAACUCUGACUGCCGCCCUCGCACUCAGGGUAUGCACACACGCACACCACACUACACACCCCGUAUGUCCCACGCAGGCAGCCUCUCGCUGACAUCGAGGCACGCGGCUGCUGCUAACGGACUGUCUCUUCUCCACACGCAUCGCGAGGUGAAAUAGAGCACCACGCACAUCACACAUCACAUCGCAUCACAGUCAGUCCAUACGCCGACACCUACGGUUGCCUACUACACAACUCACGACAGAACAGCAACUCACCCACCACAGCACAGACUUCACAGCCACUCAACACAAGCACAAGAACUCAGUAGACUACACAGAACAACAGUGUAAGUUCAGUGGGGGGGCAAAACUCGAGAAGAGAGGAGCUAGGGAAGGACAAGAGGGGUUUGCAAGUAGAGACAAAAACCGUGCAGAGAGAGAAGAGGCAGAGAUAAAUUAAAAAAAAAUAGAGAGAGAGAGAGAGAGAGAGAGAGAGAGAGAGAGAGAGAGAGAGAGAGAGAGAGAGAUCAACAGAGUGCACAGCUGGGAGCUUAGAUAGAGUGAGGGAGUGAUUGCGAGUGUAUAUGUGCCAGAGAGAGAAAGAAAGAGAGAAUAAGAAAGAAAGAUAGAGACGUUGAGACACAGAGAGAGAGAGGGAGAGAGUCUCAAAGGGACGGACACUACUCGCCUUGGGCAGGGAGAGGCGUGUAUUUGUGUUUGUGUGUGUGGGUGGGAACCUGGUGUUUGUGCAUGUGUGUGUGUCUGUGUGUGUGCUGAAAGGCACUAGCUACAGCGUGUGUGUGCCUGUGUGUAUGAGAGAGAGAGCCAGACAGUCUUGGUCAGAAGUAAAGCUUAAAAGAAGCCACGCAGUGGCCGAGACUGAGAGAAAGGGGAGGGUGCCUGCCCCGCGUAGGCUAUAUGCCUGAGAGAGAGAGAGAGAGAGAGAGAGAGAGAGAGAGAGAGAGAGAGAGAGAGAGAGAAUAGGCAGUGUGUCUGCUUGUGCAUGUCUGGGAGAGAGAAACAGAGAGAGAGAAUAGGGAGCGUGUCUGCUUCUGUGUGCCUGUGAGAGAGAAACACAGAGAGAGAGAGAGAGAAUAGGGGGUGUGCGUGAGUGAGUGUGUGUGAGAGUCAGAGGGAGGGAGAGAGCGAGAGAGAAUAGGGGGUGUGCGUGAGUGAGUGUGUGUGAGAGUCAGAGGGAGGGAGAGAGAGAGAGAAUAGGGGGUGUGCGUGAGUGAGUGUGUGUGAGAGUCAGAGGGAGGGAGAGAGAGAGAGAGAAUAGGGGGUGUGCGUGAGUGAGUGUGUGUGAGAGUCAGAGGGAGGGAGAGAAACACCACUUGACAGAGGCAGGCGGAAGCUCAUUGAGCGCGAGAGAGCGAAGAGAAGGGAAGAGAAGAGAAGCGUCUCUGUCUCAAUCAAGAGGAGAGGAGAGGAGACUACAGGACUGACUGGCACCGGGGGCAGCCGACUGACCACAGCUGACAACAACAACAAUAACAACAACAACAACAACAGGUGAACACCAGAGUGCUGGGACUCAGGUGGUGCGCACCACGGCGACAGGAGAAAGGCAACAUCCAGGACCUGAAGCAACAGGAGAAACGCAGCGUCCAGGACCUGAAGCAACAGGAGAAACGCAGCGUCCAGGACCUGAAGCGACAGGAGAAACGCAGCAUCCAGUACCUGAAGCGACAGGGGAAAGGCAGCGUCCAGGACCUGAAGCGACAGUGAGGUGUCAGCCACUCUGCCAGGUGGAUGUCAGCAGGUGGCUCUAAGCUUGGCUGCGUUGCUUCUUCAGGCCCCAGAGGUGAUACUGGGACUUCUGAGGAGAAACGAAAGCAGAAAACCUUCAGGGGAAAAGUUUUUUUUUUGUCAAGUGGAGUGGCGGUGUCCAACCAGACACUGAGGAAGCUCCAUAGGAAAGGGGCAAAACCUGAAGUCCAGUUGUUGCUUUGCUGACAGCUAAAUCCUGUGGAUAACAACAUGACAUGAAAAUGACUUCCAGACAUUUAAAAAAACUUAAUGAUGCCUCUGAGCUGCUUUGCAACCACUGUGUGUUGUAACAGUCACAGUUAACAGUCAGGUUCAGCCAACACAUCACAGUGUGGAAAUAGCAGGGAGGGGAGAUACAACUACUGGCACUCAUCUGGUCAAUGAAGCAACAAAUACGGUAGACCAUAAUAUUCAGCGUCUCCAGGACAACCAAGGAGGAGCAUUGAUCCACGUCUCACACUUGACUGUACAUGGAAUCUCACCUUUGUCUAUCCAGAGAAAAAAAACAUUACUAGUCAAGGAAGAAGCUAUUCUGUUCAAGGAAGCAACAAGCAUAACAUACCGUCUCCCAGACGACCAGGAAAGCAUUGAGUGGCAUCUCACACCUAGCCUGAUUAUCAUCGACUUUCAAAUCUCUUCUAGACUUGGUCUGACCAAGAACAUAACAAUUAUCGUUUCCCAAAAGGCAUGGUUGACCCGCCUCCGUAGUUUUGCUACUGGUUGAGUGGUGAAUGACAAAGUGGGUGGAGUUCCCGAUUUUUCGGGAGAUCAGAAACGAUAUUUACAUUGCUCUUAGCCUGACUAGAAACAACGCCUGGCUAUCUCACACCUGACCAUACAUAGACUCAUACCUUUUAUUCACACCUGACCUCACUCUUCAUGUCACCAAGUCAAAAGAAGCAACCAAUUGUGGUCAAGGAAGCAGCAAGAGGUAGACCGUACCGAAUACCUUCAACACAACCCCCCAGGAGAUCAUUCAGCCUCAUCUCAUACGCUUCAAUCACCCUUUUAAUCAUCUCCCCAGAGAGCAAAAAAAUAUUGCUAGUCAAGUAAGCAACAAGCCGACCCAUGUUAUCUCCUGGACUGGGCCAAAGACUGGAGACCAUUGGCAACAUCUCACAACUUUCCACACACAGUCUUUCACCUUUUACAUCAUUAUAUUACAUUACGUUACAUUAAGCAGACGCCUUUGACCAAAGCGACUUCCGAGGAGAAAAUUUAAGCAAGGACAUCACAUUACUUUACAUGACAUUUAGCUGAGGCUUUUCUAUAAAGUUCACUUGUAGAGAG